rnacentral:rRNA from 1 species
CUGCUGCCUCCCGUAGGAGUCUGGUCCGUGUCUCAGUACCAGUGUGGGGGACCUUCCUCUCAGAACCCCUAGACAUCGUCGCCUUGGUGGGCCGUUGCCCCGCCAACUAGCUAAUGUCACGCAUGCCCAUCCGUUGCCGGAAUCGCUCCCUUUGGCCGCAGGGCCAUGCAGCCCCGCGGCGUUACGCGGUAUUAGACGGGAUUUCUCCCGAUUAUCCCCCUGCAACGGGCAGGUCGCAUACGCGUUACUCACCCGUGCCGG